GCCUAUGUCUCUCUAGCUAGGUCUUUAACUAUACCGAUGCAAAAAAUCACGUCGAUAGUUGCUGCGUUUCAACGUGAUUAAAAGACAAACCGCUAAACCAACACACUUCCGCAUUUAUAAUAUGGGUAAUGAGAUCAUAACAUUACUU